rnacentral:misc_RNA from 1 species
GAUGAAGAACGCAGCGAAAUGCGAUACGUAAUGUGAAUUGCAGAAUUCAGUGAAUCAUCGAGUCUUUGAACGCACAUUGCGCCCCCUGGUAUUCCGGGGGGCAUGCCUGUCCGAGCGUCAUUGCUGCCCUCAAGCACGGCUUGUGUGUUGGGCCUCCGUCCUCCUCCCGGGGGACGGGCCCGAAAGGCAGCGGCGGCACCGCGUCCGGUCCUCGAGCGUAUGGGGCUUCGUCACCCGCUCUUGUAGGCCCGGCCGGCGCUUGCCGACACAUCAAUCUUUUUUCCAGGUUGACCUCGGAUCAGGGAGGAAUACCCGCUGAACUUAAGCAUAUCAAUAAGCGGAGGA